GCGGAUGGCCGGAUGGCCGCGUGGGUGGCGACACCUGCGAGGAAAGUCCGGACUCCACAAGGCAACGGUGCCGGGUAACGCCCGGCCGGGGUAACCCGAGGGAAAGCGCCACAGAGAACAGUCCGCCUUCGUGCGCCGCUCGCGCGGCACGCAGAGGUCAGGGUGAAACGGUGGGGUAAGAGCCCACCGCGGGCCUGGCAACAGGACCGGCACGGCAAGCCCCACCGGGAGCAAUGCCGAAUAGGGAUCUCGCGCGGUUCGCCGCAGGGCCGUCUUGGCCCGGAGGUCCGGGUUGGCAGCUAGAGCGUAUGGGCAACCAUGCGCCCAGAGGAAUGGUCAUCGGCCCCGGGCAUGCCCGGGGUGACAGAAUCCGGCUUACAGGCUAUCCGCGCGC
rnacentral:RNase_P_RNA from 1 species